rnacentral:rRNA from 1 species
GACGAACGCUGGCGGCGUGCCUAAUACAUGCAAGUCGAACGCAGUGGGGACGGGGGAGUAACACGUGGGUAACCUCCCAUCAGAGGGGAUAACACUUGGAAAAAGGUGCUAAACCGAUACUGAUGGAUGGACCCGCGGUGCAUUAGCUAGUUGGUGAGGUAACGGGUCACCAAGGCCACGAUGCAUAGCCUACCUGCGAGGGGGUUCGGCUACACUGGGACUGGGACACGGCCCAGACUCCUACGAGAGGCAGCAGUAGGCAAUCUUCGGCAAUGGACGAAAGUCUGACCUAGCAACGCCGCUUGAGUGAAGAAGGUUUUCGUAUCGUAAAACUCUGUUGUUAGAGAAGCGGUAUCUAAUCAGAAAGCCACGGCUAACUACGUGCCAGCAGCCGCGGUAAUUC